rnacentral:tRNA from 1 species
GAGGUUGUGGCUCAGUGGUAGAGCACUUGCCUAGCAAGUGCGAGGCCCUGGGUUUGAUUCUCAGCAAGCAUA